rnacentral:rRNA from 1 species
ACGCUCGACACCUACGUGAGGCAGCAGUGAGGAAUAUUGGUCAAUGGGCGCUAGCCUGAACCAGCCAAGUAGCGUGAAGGAUGAAGGCUCUAUGGGUCGUAAACUUCUUUUAUAUAAGAAUAAAGUGCAGUAUGUAUACUGUUUUGUAUGUAUUAUAUGAAUAAGGAUCGGCUAACUCCGNGCCAGCAGCCGCGGUAAUCUGAGCGGGCUGGCAAGGC